UACGUAGGGUGCAAGCGUUGUCCGGAAUUAUUGGGCGUAAAGAGCUCGUAGGCGGUUUGUCGCGUCUGGUGUGAAAAUCCAGGGCUUAACCCUGGACCUGCAUCGGGUACGGGCAGACUAGAGUGCGGUAGGGGAGAUCGGAAUUCCCGGUGUAGCGGUGAAAUGCGCAGAUAUCGGGAAGAACACCCGUGGCGAAGGCGGCUCUCUGGGACGGUACUGACGCUGAGACGCGAAAGCGUGGGGAGCGAACAGG
rnacentral:rRNA from 1 species